CUCUUUCUUGAUUUUUCAGGUGGUGGUGCAUGGCCGUUCUUAGUUCGUGGAGUGAUUUGUCUGCUUAAUUGCGAUAACGAACGAGACCUUAACCUGCUAAAUAGCCAGGCUAGCUUUGGCUGGUCGCCGGCUUCUUAGAGGGACUAUCGGCUCAAGCCGAUGGAAGUUUGAGGCAAUAACAGGUCUGUGAUGCCCUUAGAUGUUGUGGGCCGCACGCGCGCUACACUGACAGAGCCAAUGAGUUCUUCACCUUGGCCGAAAGGUCUGGGUAAUCUUGUUAAACUCUGUCGUGCUGGGGAUAGAGCAUUGCAAUUAUUGCUCUUCAACGAGGAAUGCCUAGUAAGCGCGUGUCAUCAGCAUGCGUUGAUUACGUCCCUGCCCUUUGUACACACCGCCCGUCGCUACUACCGAUUGAAUGGCUCAGUGAGGCCUUCGGACUGGCUCGGGGAGGUUGGCAACGACCACCCCGAGCCGGAAAGUUCGUCAAACUCGGUCAUUUAGAGGAAGUAAAAGUCGUAACAAGGUUU
rnacentral:rRNA from 1 species